rnacentral:rRNA from 1 species
AGCAGCCGCGGUAAUUCCAGCUCCAAUAGCGUAUAUUAAAGUUGUUGCAGUUAAAAAGCUCGUAGUUGAAUUUCGGGGUUAGUAGGUUGGUCGUGCCUUCGGUAUGUACUGGUCUUACUGAUUCCUCCUUCUUGAAGAACUGUAAUGUCAUUUAUUUGGUGUUGCAGGGAAACAGGACUGUUACUUUGAAAAAAUUAGAGUGUUUAAAGCAGGCUAACGCCUGAAUACAUUAGCAUGGAAUAAUGAAAUAGGACGUUUGAUCCUAUUUUGUUGGUUUCUAGGAUUGACGUAAUGAUUAAUAGGGAUAGUUGGGGGCAUUAGUAUUCAAUUGUCAGAGGUGAAAUUCUUGGAUUUAUUGAAGACUAACUACUGCGAAAGCAUUUGCCAAGGAUGUUUUCAUUAAUCAAGAACGAAAGUUAGGGGAUCGAAGACGAUCAGAUACCGUCGUAGUCUUAACCAUAAACUAUGCCGACUAGGGAUCGGAUGAUGUUAAUUUUUUAAUGACUCAUUCGGCGCCUUACG